ACUAUUUUGGCAGAUAAGUGCAUUGGAUUUAGAAUCUAUGAAUGUAAAUGUAGUA
rnacentral:tRNA from 1 species